CAGUUAGAGGAAUGAUGUACUACUACCGGGCUCUCAAGAUGUUGACUUUUCUGGAUUCUGCAUCAGAAAUGGAUAUUAGAG
rfam:Vigna angularis cultivar Jingnong 6 scaffold430_6, whole genome shotgun sequence.